AGAAAAAUCAAAAUAUCACUUGCUGUAUCCCCAACAAGAUAUUCUGCAUAAACUAUAGGUUGAUGUGUAGUUCAUUGAUACCUGUUUUCUAGUUGAUAAAGGUACAUUGCUACACCAAGGCCAAAAGUAUAUAGUAUACAGAGCAUACAAACCGAUCCGUUGGAACGCAAAAUUAUAACAUACAGAUUUAUGCAAGAGGGAUGACUGCAAAGUGCGUUCCGUGAGUAGUGUAAGAAGCUGAAAAUUGCUGCUGUUGUAGCUGUCAUAGACACAGGACCUCAGACUUGAUUAUGAUUCUAUUGUGGUAAGUGCCUCUAUCAAUCACAGGGAGAUCAAGUCCUUGCCUAAAGAUGUGCAUAUAAAGAUACCCCAUACAGCAGCAUGCCCUGAAGGAGCUUAAUGGGCAUCCACUCCAUCUCCAGGCAGAGCUGCAGGACUCUUCAUGUAUAAAUAAAUAACCUGGUGUAAGACAGAUUAUGUUCCUCAGAUAUCAAUCACUGGUAAAUAUCGUGUUUCUACUCACAAAGUAAGAAUAGUAAAUGGAAACUCAUGAAGAUUUCAGGUUGCCAUUAUAUUUACAGUCCUGGGCUCACUGCUGAGAAUUAUUGGAUGUUUUUGCCUCUGAAUAUGGGCUGAAAGCUUCAGUGGGAUACUCAUUUCUUGCUUGCCUCUCAGACUUUCAAAUCAACAUUGAUCUUGGUUCUUAUAACCCUACCUCUGAAUCACUGUAUAUAAUGCAAAAAGCUACCAGAUCUUUGCCAGUUAGGCUCAGUAAGAAGCAAACCCCCAAACACAACCUUUCCUGAUUCUUUAUCUGGCAAAUGGUUUGGGCCAAAUUGAGUG